UUAACUCAAAUUUGUAUGGAGUUGGAACGUUUGGCUACGUUUAUCUUUAGGAGCGCUGUUCUUACUGCAUACAAAAUUGAGUUA
rnacentral:pre_miRNA from 1 species